rnacentral:lncRNA from 1 species
GCGGUCCUGCCCCUCUGGUCAAGUCAGAGGCGGGUCUUGCAGCCCUGACGCUUUGGUUAUGCGGAGGGUGGUUUUGUGCAGGUGACAGCUUUUCGGCCUGCCUUCCACAUACGAACUCUCGAUAACUUUCAAGAGCCAGGUGAGAAGAGGGCAGUGUUAUACUAGGAGAAACCACUUGGAGAUAAUGCCAGGUGCUUUUCGGUGUGAUUUGCAGGAAAUUCUCCCACCAGAGACCCGUGUUAUGCCUGGCAUACAGGAGGCAUUCAGAACAUUUGAUGACUAGAAGUGUGUGUCUAUCUCAAUGACACAGGUCUCUAAAACCCUUGCUGACAGUGUUUGGACCAAGAGGCUGGCAGCUAUGAUGGGAGCUCUGGUAGAAGGUCAGUUGGAAUUUCAUGUUUAUUUUUAUAUUUAUAGGGAUUUCAAAUUCAUGGUUUUUGUUGUCUCCUAUUAUGGUUGAAAGUAUGGCCCACGUGUGAGAUUAUUUGUGCUUUUUUUUUUUUUUUUGAUCUUACAGAUUUUGAGAUAGAUUUGUGCAACAGUUUGGAUGCUAUUAUCCCCUAGAAUCUCUUUGAAGGUUGAAAAACAUUUUUUUAAAUUGUUAUGAUUAUCCUAUUCUAGAUGCAGCAACAGAAGAAAAGGAAAACCACCAAACCAGCAAAGAAAGAAGUAGGAAAACUAAUAUUCUUGUUUAAUAAAUACUUAUUGAGUACCUUCAGUGCACAACGCACUGAAGAUAGAGUAAUCAUCUAGACAGACAAGGCCUGUGCCUUCACUGGCGUAUGUUCCUCUGGGAGAAUAGAUAUAAAAUAAAUAUAUAGUGUGAUGUUAGGAGAUGCUAAGGACCAUAAAAAUUAAGCACAGUAGUGAAUAAAAAGUAAAGUAGUAAAGUAGGUAGUGCUGUGAUAUUUAGUUUAGCUGGGCUUUCUCUGAUAAGAUGACAUUUGCCUAAGACUAGACUUGAAGUCAUCUAAAUAUCUGAAGGAAUGUAUUAUUUAUCUUCUUUUUUUUUUAUUUAUUUAUGAUAGUCACACAGAGAGAGAGAGAGAGAGAGAGAGAGAGAGAGAGGCAGAGACACAGGCAGAGGGAGAAGCAGGCUCCAUGCACCGGGAGCCUGACGUGGGAUUCGAUCCCGGGUCUCCAGGAUCGCGCCCUGGGCCAAAGGCAGGCGCUAAACCGCAGCGCCACCCAGGGAUCCCGGAAUGUAUUAUUUAGGUAGAGAAAACAGCAUAUCUAAAAGGCCCUGAGGCUGGGACAAACUUGAUGUGUCUGAGGUGUGGAAGAAGAUAGAAAAACUGGAGCUGAGAUUGUGGGGAAAAAAGUGUAUUACAGGAUAAAGUUAGAGAAGCAGGCAGUAGCCAGAUCAAGUAGGGUUAUUGUAGCCACGGUAAGUUUUGGACUUUGUUUUAGGUGUAAUGGGAAGCCAUUAAAGGCAUUUAGCUGGGAAAGUAAUAGAGUCGAUUUACAUGUUAAAGGCUUCUGUGUCUAUUAUAUACUGACCAAGGAAAGAGAAAAUGCUGGAAGAUGAGUUUCCAUACUGCUGGCUCUAUAUAACACUAAUAACUGGACUUCUAACUUGCUCUUGACAUCCAGUCAUUAUUUUGUGGCAUGAUUCUUACAACUGGAUAUUUGUCUUUCCCCCUCGCAUGAUUACACACAGACAUUGCUGAAUUGUGCAAUUCCCCCACGCUUUCUGUAUCACACCUGUGGCUAAUGGGAAAGUUGAAAUGUUGAACUGACUUUCCAUUUUUGUGACUAUGCACUAGUUGCUUUCCCAAAGAUACCUCUGAAGUUCACUACCUGACCCUUGAUAGUAAAUAUUGACUAAUCAAAGGUUCUUUAUUACUGUGUUCUCAUCUACCAGUAUGUUUUGUGAUCUCAGCUUUAUCUUUUGAUACCAACAAUUUCUUCUGGACAUCACAGUCUCUGCUCAGUGUCUCACUGGAUCAAUAGUCUUUGUUCUCUCCCACUUUCCCAUUGUUCCUUCUCAAAAGUAAACACAUCCAGUCUCUUGAGCUCCAUCUGCACACAUGCUGUCAUUCCUCCUGUGACCAGCCACAUCAUACUUAAGAGAUAGCAAUGAUUGUUGUCCAUUCAUUCACUCAACAAAUAUUUAUUGAACAUGAACUAAAUGUCACACCCUGUACCAGAUACUCUGGUAUCUGUACUCACAAUCCCUGUCCUAACUGUGUUUAAAGUCUAGUAGGAGUUGCAAACAAAUAAAGAAGAAAUGUCUUUAAUGAGAGAAGUACCAUGUACAAUAAGGAAGUCAGAAAGGUAUUCCAAGAAAAAAUAGUGUUUACCUGAAAUUUCAAAGGUGAAAAUGAUAUGUUCAGGGGGAGAGGGGAUCCAGUAUAAGCCAGACUGUUUGAGGUAUUUACAGUAGGGCAAAUAGUGUGAGAAAACUAUGACACAUUUGAGGAAUGUAGAAAGAUCAAUAUGAAGGAGCGGGAAGUAUGAGGGAUGAAGUGAUGAUUACAGUAUUUUCAUUACUACUCAUAUGUCUUUUUUGCUGAAUAAAUUAAUACCUGAAAUGGUCUUCAUUUUUACCCCAUGUAAAAUUGUAAUUAAUUCAUCUGUGCAACCUCUAAAGCCCAUGGCUUGGCUUGAAAUCAUGGGCUGCAGAGCAGAUAUCUUAUCAUCCUACUUUUUAAGACAUAAAUCAGUAACUCUUCCUUAUGAAGGGGAAGUCUUGUUCUCUUUCAUUAGGAAAAGCUUCACAAAUCUCAAAUAUGUUUAUUUAUUUUCUCCAAACUCUGCCUGUACAAACCAGGACCUAUGUUAGGGUCCCCAGAGGCCAGGCUGGGCACAGACUGGAGUGCUUCUGGCCAGUGGAUGUAAGAGCAAGUUGCUCCAGUAGAUCCAAAGAUGGAACCAAAAUCAAAAGCCAGGAAUACAGGGUAAGGGCUCAACCUAAAAGGGCAAGACAUAGGGGCAGAACCCACCAUUUAUCCAAGAAUAAGGCAUUUGGAUAUGAGGCAAGUGAGUACUAGACUAAAAUGCGAUUUGGACAAAAGAGUGGGAGUGGAUCCUGGACAUACUCCAUGAAAUGUUGGAGUAGCCCCAGGGACAUUUUUAUAGGGCACAUAUGGUCUCAGCUGUGAGUGAGGAAGAAGCUGUUAAGGGCUAAGCUAGUCCUUAAGGAGGUCUCAGUCUUUUUUGGGGUAAACAUAUGUGAGAACAAAAAAAAUUAUAGUGCAAUCUGAGAAGUUCUGUAAUCAAGGCAUAUGCCAAGUGGGAGCAAGUUUUAGGGUUUUAAUGAAGACUUCAUAAGCAUGGCAUUUGAAAGAUUGGUAAGAGUUAGUUGAUUGGGAAAAGGUAAGGAAAACCUGAGAAAAGCAAAUAACAUGGGCCAGGACUGAUGUAGAAAGAGCAUUGUGUUGCAUUCAAGAAUCCAUGGCUGUAAAGAAAAUAAAAAAAAAAAAAAAAAAAAAAAAAAAAA